rnacentral:rRNA from 1 species
GACGAACGCUGGCGGCGUGCCUAAUACAUGCAAGUAGAACGCUGAAGGAGGAGCUUGCUUCUCUGGAUGAGUUGCGAACGGGCGAGUAACGCGUAGGUAACCUGCCUGGUAGCGGGGGAUAACUAUUGGAAACGAUAGCUAAUACCGCAUAAGAGUAGAUGUUGCAUGACAUUUGCUUAAAAGGUGCAAUUGCAUCACUACCAGAUGGACCUGCGUUGUAUUAGCUAGUUGGUGGGGUAACGGCUCACCAAGGCGACGAUACAUAGCCGACCUGAGAGGGUGAGCGGCCACACUGGGACUGAGACACGGCCCAGACUCCUACGGGAGGCAGAAGAAGGGAAUCUUCGGCAAUGGACGGAAGUCUGACCGAGCAACGCCGCGUGAGUGAAGAAGGGUUUCGGAUCGUAAAGCUCGGUUGUAAGAGAAGAACGAGUGUGAGAGUGGAAAGUUCACACUGUGACGGUAACUUACCAGAAAGGGACGGCUAACUACGUG